GACGAACGCUGGCGGCGUGCUUAACACAUGCAAGUCGAGCGGUAAGGCCCCUUCGGGGGUACACGAGCGGCGAACGGGUGAGUAACACGUGAGCAAUCUGCCCUUCACACAGGGAUAACCUCGGGAAACCGAGGCUAAUACAUGAUACGACCACUUCAGGCAUCUGAUGGUGGUGGACAGUUACGGCGGUGAAGGAUGAGCUCGCGGCCUAGCAGCUUGUUGGUGGGGUAAUGGCCUACCAAGGCAACGACGGGUAGCCGGCCUGAGAGGGUGACCGGCCACACUGGGACUGAGACACGGCCCAGACUCCUACGGGAGGCAGCAGUGGGGAAUAUUGGACAAUGGGCGAAAGCCUGAUCCAGCAACGCCGCGUGAGGGAUGACGGCCUUCGGGUUGUAAACCUCUUUCAGCAGGGACGAAGCGCAAGUGACGGUACCUGCAGAAGAAGCACCGGCCAACUACGUGCCAGCCGCCGCAGUAACAC
rnacentral:rRNA from 1 species